rnacentral:misc_RNA from 1 species
AAGUCGUGACAAGGUUUCCGUAGGUGAACCUGCGGAAGGAUCAUUAAAAAUUUAUAUCCGGGAAUUCGUUUCGUUUUCCCGUGAUUAUUUGUAUUCAAAUCCCACUCUUUAUAAAUAUAUUAAUUAUAUAAAACAAAAAAUAAAAAAGAAAACUUUCAACAACGGAUCUCUUGGCUCUC